GUUGAUAUUAGUGUUAUUCUCUCAUUGGAAACUAAGUACCAGCAGGUUUGGCAAGUGAGACUAUAACCGAUGACUGGGAUACAACAUAUGAAGAGGAUAUCAACUCUGCUGGGACCAAGAAAAGUGAUUCAAAAAGGUUAAAAUGACGUUAGAACUUUUGUGAAAAAAUGAGGUUCGACUCUGUUCCUAUAUUAAUGAUAUUCAAGGUCAGGGAUAUGGAAAGAAAGCAGGUCACUCAAUGUUCUUUCUUGAGAAUAUUUUUGUUCCACCAAUCAAAUUCCGCCCUCCCACUAAAGGAGGUGAUAUGGUAUCGGAGCAUGCUCAUACUGUUUUGUUGAGUAAGAUUCUGCAGUCUAACUAUGAG